rnacentral:rRNA from 1 species
UACAGAGACUGCAAGCGUUAUUCGGAUUCACUGGGCGUAAAGGGUGCGCAGGCGGUCGUGUGUGUCAGGUGUGAAAUCCCGGAGCUUAACUUCGGAACUGCGCCUGAAACUACACGACUAGAGCAUUGGAGAGGGAAGUGGAAUUCAUGGUGUAGCAGUGAAAUGCGUAGAUAUCAUGAGGAACACCAGAGGCGAAGGCGACUUCCUGGACAAUUGCUGACGCUCAGGCACGAAAGCAUGGGGAGCAAAAGGG